ACGAAGUAGAUAAUGCUAAAUUAAAAUGCUCAAAAGAGCAAACAAGUUUAAAAAAAUGUAACAAAGAAUGUGCAUAUACUAAUGAAAAAGAAUACUUUGUAUAUGAAUGUACAAACAAGAAUGUUAAUAAUAAUAAUGAAGUAAAUGGAGAUAAAAAAAAUGAUGAUUACAACUCUUGUUCAUUAGAUAUAGGUGGUACACUUAUAAAAGUUGCUUACUUUCAUGACACCUACAUUCCGAUUAAAAAUAAUGACAGUUGUAGUAAAAAUUUGAAAAUAAAAAUAAAAAACAAGUUUUUAUUCGUAGAUUUUUUUUUUAUAACUGAAUUAGAAGAUUCGUUAACCUUUCUUAUAAAAAAUAAAUUAUUAAAAAAAAAAAUAAAUAUUACAGGUGGAGGGGCACAUAAAUAUUAUUACUAUAUUUUAAAAAAAAUAAUAGAUGAAGAAAUUAAAAAACAAUUGAAUGUUACAAAUCAAGAAUAUAGAUUAUGCGUUAAUAAAUGUACAUAUUAUAACGAGUCUUUAACAUUGGUAAUAUAUAUACAUUUAUCUUUAUGUACGAAUGAUUACCAUAACCAUAAGGAUGAUACUGCUGUGUAUUUUGAUCAAGACUUUCUGAAUAGUUACAGUGACUCCGAAACUGUUAAAAUAUACUUGGUUAAAAAUGUAUAUAAUACGGAUAAUGACUAUGAUCAAAAACAAGAGAAAGAGCAAAAAUGUUUGGUUUAUGACGAAAUAUUUUUAUUAAAAUGUAGUAGAAAAGACGAAAUGUUUUGCGUUAUUAAUGGUAUUCAACAUUUAUUUAAUAUAAAUAAAAGUAUAGUAAGAUAUGAUAUUUUUAUGAACGUACAGAUACCUUUACAAUUGAAGGCAAAACCCAAACCAUUUGUAAUUGCCAAUAUAGGGUCUGGUAUAUCUAUGUUAUUUUCUGAUAGUAAUGGGAAUUUUAGUAGGAUAUCUGGUACAGCUAUUGGUGGGGGGACUGCUAUGGGGUUAGCUCAAUUAAUAUUAGGAAAAAUUUCCUUCGAAAAUUUAAUAAAGCUAGCCGUCAAAGGUUCAUCAAAAUUAGACUUAAAAGUAAAAAACAUAAGAAAGGAUGCCGCUGGUAG
rnacentral:lncRNA from 1 species